rnacentral:rRNA from 1 species
GACGAACGCUGGCGGCGUGCUUAACACAUGCAAGUCGAACGAAGAGCGAUGGAAGCUUGCUUCUAUCAAUCUUAGUGGCGAACGGGUGAGUAACGCGUAAUCAACCUGCCCUUCAGAGGGGGACAACAGUUGGAAACGACUGCUAAUACCGCAUACGAUCUAAUCUCGGCAUCGAGGAUAGAUGAAAGGUGGCCUCUACAUGUAAGCUAUCACUGAAGGAGGGGAUUGCGUCUGAUUAGCUAGUUGGAGGGGUAACGGCCCACCAAGGCGAUGAUCAGUAGCCGGUCUGAGAGGAUGAACGGCCACAUUGGGACUGAGGCACGGCCCAGACUCCUACGGGAGGCAGCAGUGGGGAAUCUUCCGCAAUGGACGAAAGUCUGACGGAGCAACGCCGCGUGAGUGAUGACGGCCUUCGGGUUGUAAAGCUCUGUUAAUCGGGACGAAAGGCCUUCUUGCGAAUAGUGAGAAGGAUUGACGGUACCGGAAUAGAAAGCCACGGCUAACUACGUG